rnacentral:tRNA from 2 species
CGCGAUGUCCUCAUGGAGAGGGGCAGCUCUCAUAAGGCUGACCGAGAGGGUUCGAUUCCCUCCAUCGCGA